UACGGGGGGGGCAAGCGUUGUUCGGAAUUACUGGGCGUAAAGGGCUCGUAGGUGGCCAACUAAGUCAGACGUGAAAUCCCUCGGCUUAACCGGGGAACUGCGUCUGAUACUGGAUGGCUUGAAUUUGGGAGAGGGACGCGGAAUUCCAGGUGUAGCGGUGAAAUGCGUAGAUAUCUGGAGGAACACCGGUGGCGAAGGCGGCGUCCUGGACCAACACUGACACUGAGGAGCGAAAGCCAGGGGAGCAAACGGG
rnacentral:rRNA from 1 species